UCAUUUGCACGUCGCCUCCCAGUUUACCGGCCUUGAUUCCGCAAGGAAUGCCUGUUACAGGGCCCCCAUCCCAGGCUCGUGAACACGGUUUGCCGCUCUCGAGCCUGUAUCAGGACCUCGCUGCAUGCCGCAUUUGGACCAACUGCUGUUCUUCGCCAUCACGCAGUGGAUGGUACGACCUGGAUGGAGGCUGAGGCCGGGACUCUAACCCUAAGACGAUAUCUGGUUCGAGUUUGCGCCAAGCUGUUCAAGCCGCCUUUUAAGUUUGCCGAGCACCUCAGGAAGCUGCUCCCGCUGAAAAGUGGGAUGGCUGACCUGUGCUGCCGGCGGAUGGACUGGCGGGGAGAACUUUCCAGUCACCUCUGGGUGCGCAAGAGGAAGGAUGCCAUGAGUCGCUCGAUCAGAGCGUGUAAGAUUCUCUUAGAGGACGCUCGUCUGCCCUUUCGCUGGAACUCGGGCGUUGGCCAACAGUAGACCGCCUCACGGACGCUGCUGUUUCUCCAUUGACAGGGCUUGCUGUCUGUCGUGGACGGACCUUCAGGUCGUACAUUACGCCUCGGUCACCGCUUGGGCGGAGAGAGAUGAGUACCGGACGGCCUUCAUACUAUCAGAGCACGCGUUUCCAAACAUGCAAUCAGAGUCAUACCUUGUCGGAAUCACCUUUGAGGUGUAGCGAGGAUCUCUCGAUCACACACAGAAAUGCACCUCAUGCCUGAUUUUCUUGCCGCUCCGGGAACUCUCGGUACUCUCGAAGCCCAGAAAGUGAUCUUUUGUCUGUCCAUGGCAGGCUUUGGCGAGCCCUGUCAACAUACGGCAUGCUCCUGACGCCUCAUCCCGGUUCCUAACCACCGAUGUGUGACACUUUCCGUCAGGUCUGGCCAGGCGCAUUAACCUCUCUCAUCUGUAGAAGGAUGAUGAAGGGACGCCAGCUUUCCGUUUGAUGUCCUUGGUGAUGUCGACGGAUUCCUCGGCUUUCUUGCAAAGGAAAGUCGAGACGACAGCGCGGUUUUUAUGGACGUCUUUGUUCGCGCGAAAUGCCCUCCUUGCUUACUCUUCACGGGGCACGGUGGAGAGGAAACAAAAUCAAGUUCCUGUUGGCAGUGCACUACACACAGAAGGAGGUCCGAUUUUCAGGAUUGCCGGCCGACUCGGGGCGCUGUCGAUGAAAGCCCCGGUGCUACGCCUGUGUUGGCGGAAGGUGGACGACGAGAGCUUCCGUUACGCCGGUUGUUCCGGUUUGCCGUCCAGUCCCAAGCAGACCGGGACCCAUCUCGAGUUGGCGUCAAAGUUUCGCACUUGUCCGGCGCUGCCCACUACUGGUCCAAACGACAAAUCGGCAACUGUGCAAGACGAUCUCGACUCCAAAAUCGGCCAUCAGCUUUUAGGGGCAGGCCUUAUUGGUAGCCCCGGUUGCCCUUGUGCCAGAAAUGGUGGGAGGGCAACCCCCCGGUUUACGAGG
rnacentral:telomerase_RNA from 1 species